AGUGAACGCUGGCGGUAGGCCUAACACAUGCAAGUCGAACGGCAGCACAGUAAGAGCUUGCUCUUACGGGUGGCGAGUGGCGGACGGGUGAGGAAUACAUCGGAAUCUACUUUUUCGUGGGGGAUAACGUAGGGAAACUUACGCUAAUACCGCAUACGACCUACGGGUGAAAGCAGGGGAUCUUCGGACCUUGCGCGAUUGAGUGAGCCGAUGUCGGAUUAGCUAGUUGGCGGGGUAAAGGCCCACCAAGGCGACGAUCCGUAGCUGGUCUGAGAGGAUGAUCAGCCACACUGGAACUGAGACACGGUCCAGACUCCUACGGGAGGAAGCAGUGGGGAAUAUUGGACAAUGGGCGCAAGCCUGAUCCAGCCAUACCGCGUGGGUGAAGAAGGCCUUCGGGUUGUAAAGCCCUUUUGUUGGGAAAGAAAAGCAGCAGGUUAAUACCCCGCUGUUCUGACGGUACCCAAAGAAUAAGCACCGGCUAACUUCGUG
rnacentral:rRNA from 1 species